AUGUGAAUUGAACAUCGUCAGUCGUUUAUCACAGUUGUUGCCAGCGCAAACUGUUAUAGAUGAGAGAGAAACUUCCAGAGGUUUUGUCUGUCUGAAAACUUCAUAAUUAGAAAAUUUGAAUUCUCUUGGUUUUUUCCUUUUUUCUUUCCCAUUUCUGUCCUUUUCCCUAUCUUCUAUUUUCCAUCAUCUCUUGAGUCGGGUGCAGAAUAUUUUCUGGAACCGGACGAUCGUCGAAGACGACUUUGAACUUGAACUGUCCCUGCAUUGCAUUAGAAAGAGCCUGCGAGCAGGAACUGGCGAGCCAUGCCCAUAUAAGGAUCGAGCUACGUGAAUCAAGAAAGUGGUAGGAUCGUGCACACGCUUUUCCUUCGUUUUUUCUUACUGAACUGUGUUGCUCAGAACUAAAUUGCGGAAGACGGAUCUCGUGUAAGCAGCACUGAACUGAGCUAAAGUUUGGUGAAACCCUAAUCCACUUUGGGACUGUUAUUGUGAACAUUAAGGUUGAUCUAUUGUAAUUCCUUUUCUUUCUUUUUUCCCCCCUGGUUUUCUGCUCUCAAAUUCCUCUGUUAAAUUAUUUGGUUUUAUUUUUAAUUUAUUUUUGUUGUUGUUUUUCUGAAGAACAAGAGUGAAAAAGGUAUUUCAAAGUGUCAUUUGGAAGAAUUGUAUUCAUAGUCAAAUUCAAGGUUAUUAUCUAUAUUAAAUAAGCCAAUUAGAAACAAAUUGAAUAAAUAGGUGAAAUAUAUAUUCUAUAUUAUUCUAUAUAUCUAUGUUUCAUAUCGAUAUUUUCAUAUUAUUAACUUUAUUAGGUUGAACCUACAGUAUUCUUGCUCCUAUUUUAUUUUCUAUUUUCAUGCUGCCAAUGGGUGGUAUCCUUGAGAAAUAUGGAGUGUCAUUCCACCUUUAUGCAGACAAUACUCAGCUGUAUUUUCCCUUGCAGCAUAAAAGUAAAGAUGUUUUAGCUCCUCUGUUGAAUUGUAUAAGUGAAUUACAAACAUGGUUGAAGCAGAAUCUCUUAGUGUUAAAUGAGAACAAAACUGAAAUCAUACUGUUUGGCUCCAAGUCAUAUGAAGACUUUGCCUCUCACUUUGGUCAUCUCUCUUCCUACUUUACACCUUGUGCCAAAAAUCUUGGUGUACUUUUUGAUUGCAACCUGGAUUUUGAGAAACAAAUUAGUGCAGUGGUCAAAUCAUGUUUCUUCCACUUACGGCGUUUAUCAAAAAUCAAAUCUGCACUCUCUGUUAAACAGUUUGAACAGAUUAUUCACUUGUUUGUUCUAUCUCGUCUACAUUACUGUAACCCACUUUACUAUGGUAUAAGUCAGUCUUCUAUAGUGCGUUUACAGAUGGUCCAAAAUGCUGCUGCAAGAUUGAUUUCAGGCAGACGAAGGUUCGACCACAUCUCACCCAUUCUUAUUUCACUAAAUUGGUUACCAGUAAAAUUUAGAAUUAGUUUUAAAAUUUUAACAUUUGUUUACAAAUCCUUGCAUAAUCAAGCCCCACCUUAUCUCUCAGAGGCAAUCUCCAUUUAUAAACCAAAUACGUCUAAGAUCCAGUAAUCUUGGUCUCCUCACUGUUCCUAGAUCUAGGCUCCAUUGCAGAGGUGAUCGAGCCUUCGCUGUUGCUGGUCCUAAUCUAUGGAACAAUUGUCUGUAUUUAAAUUCCGGCUUAAAAAUCAUUUUAUGUCAAUAGCUUUUAUCUAGCCAUGUUUAAUCGUAUUAUGUUGUAUUGUUAUGUGAUGUUUCAAUGUUUUGUUGUUUCUUAUUCAUUUUAUUCUACCCGUAUUGUACAGCACUUUGGAUCAACUAGUAGUUGUGUGAAAGUGCUUUAUAAAUAAAGAAAGAAAGGAAUCUAAAUAGGUCAAAAAGAAAGACACAAACAAUUAAUAAAAUAGAAAAAUAAAUAGAACAAUAGAAAAUUUAAAUAAGGGUUAUAAGAAGAAUACAUUUACUUAUUUUACUCUUUUCAUUUAUUUCAUCCUCCAUUACCCCUUUUUGGUCACUAUAUCCAUUUUUUUUUUUUUGUCUGUUUAUUGGUUUUGAUGAUGUAUUGAAUCUCUGACAUUAUUAUUAUUAUUUAUUGAUUUUUUUCUCCUUUUAUUAUUGCAUUAUUGACAUAUCCUUUAAUACAUCUUACCUGUUUUUGAUGCGG